rnacentral:rRNA from 1 species
CCCUUAGAUGUUCUGGGCUGCACGCGCGCUACACUGAAGCGUUCAACGAGUAUUCACCUUGCCCGGGAGGGUUGGGUAAUCUUUUGAAAACGCUUCGUGAUGGGGAUAGAUUAUUGCAAUUAUUAAUCUUCAACGAGGAAUGCCUAGUAAGCGCGAAUCAUCAGUUCGCGUUGAUUACGUCCCUGCCCUUUGUACACACCGCCCGUCGCUCCUACCGAUUGAAUGGUCCGGUGAAAAUUUCGGAUAGUGACGAUGCUGGCGGUUCGCCGCCGGCGCUGUCGCUAGAAGAUCUUUAAACCUUAUCAUUUAGAGGAAGGAGAAGUCGUANCA